rnacentral:rRNA from 1 species
UACGAAGGGUGCAAGCGUUACUCGGAAUUACUGGGCGUAAAGCGUGCGUAGGUGGUGAGUUAAGUCUGUCGUGAAAGCCCCGGGCUCAACCUGGGAAUGGCGAUGGAUACUGGCUCGCUAGAGUGCGGUAGAGGAGAGUGGAAUUCCCGGUGUAGCAGUGAAAUGCGUAGAGAUCGGGAAGAACACCAGUGGCGAAGGCGGUUUCCUGGAGCUAACUUGACGCUGAGACGCGAAAAGCUGGGGGGAGCAAACGGG